rnacentral:rRNA from 1 species
UUAGGAAUAUUCGUCAAUGGGGGAAACCCUGAACGAGCAAUGCCGCGUGAAGGAUGAAGGUCCUAUGGAUUGUAAACUUCUGUUGUUAGGGAAGAACGACCUGUAUAGGAAAUGAUACAGGAGUGACGGUACCUUUCAAGAAAGCUCCGGCUAACUACGUGCCAGCAGCCGCGGUAAUACGUAGGGAGCGAGCGUUAUCCGGAUUUAUUGGGUGUAAAGGGUGCGUAGGCGGCUUUACAGGUCUGUGGUUUAAUCCCGAAGCUUAACUUCGGUUCGCCAUAGAAACCGUAUCGCUUGAGCAUGGUAGAGGCAAGUGGAAUUUCUAGUGUAGCGGUUAAAUGCGUAGAUAUUAGAAGGAACACCAGUGGCGAAGGCGACUUGCUGGGCCAUUGCUGACGCUGAGGCACGAAAGCGUGGGGAGCAAAUAGG